AGGAUGAACGCUGGCGGUCUGCUUAACACAUGCAAGUCGAACGGAGUAGAAAUACUUAGUGGCGGACGGGUGAGUAACGCGUGAGAAUCUACCUUCAGGACGGAGACAACAGUUGGAAACGACUGCUAACCCCCGAUGUACUGAAAAGGCAAAUAUUUAUAGCCUGAAGAAGAGCUCGCGUCCGAUUAGCUAGUUGGAGAGGUAAAAGCUCACCAAGGCGACGAUCGGUAGCUGGUCUGAGAGGACGAUCAGCCACACUGGGACUGAGACACGGCCCAGACUCCUACGGGAGGCAGCAGUGGGGAAUUUUCCGCAAUGGGCGAAAGCCUGACGGAGCAAGACCGCGUGGGGGAAGAAGGCUCUUGGGGUUGUAAAACCCCCUUUUUCUCUGGGGAAGAACGCAAAUGACGGUACCAGAGGAAUCAGCAUCGGCUAACUCCGUGCCAGCAGCCGC
rnacentral:rRNA from 1 species